GUCUCUUCCAAGGAAACAUGAAAUCAUGAAAUUCCUCUAGGAACUAGAGCGCUCACACAUGGGAUUCUUUCCAGCUUCACGGCCAAUCUCUGAACUGUUGGCUCUUCUAUAAAGGCAGAGCUGCUACAGCAAGAUCCAAUGCCAUUAUCAAGAACCGCAUCAUUAGACCGUCUGGUGGCUAUAACUCCAAGGUAAACAGUUACUUCUGUCAGCCACAGCAUUCCACAAAGCCCAGCGAUCACAGCUGGGCAGUUGAAGACACAGUUCAAGUGUACAGUCCACCAUGACUGAGAAGUAAAGGGAAGCCACUGACAUUGAUAUGGUUCAGAAGAUAGCUGGAUUGUGGAGUGAUGUUGGGGGAAUAGAAAUCUUCUCAAUCCCGGAAGGCUAGCGUGG
rnacentral:lncRNA from 1 species